UUUGAGACAGUAUUUGAUUUAAGAAAGUAGCCCAGAAUAAUUAAUACAAGUUUUUAUCUUUUAAUCUUUUACACCAAAAUGAAAGUACUUGUUAAAAGAAUUGAUGCAGACAAAAGCAUACAUAGAUAGAUAAAAUAUCAUAUCUAUGCAAGUUUAGGGCAUACCUGCAUGUAUGAAUCUGCUAUAUUUGCAUCUCCUUUAACAUGUAUGUUAAUGAUAAUUGUACUUUGCAUAGCACUGGAUAAACAUAGAUCUAGUAGUACGUAAAUAUAGGAUACUGGGAGAAUAAAGUUAAUUAUGAUAAUUUCCGGUGCAUGGAAACUUAAAACCCUAGCUAGCUAGCUAGCUACUUCAUCAUGACCAUGUAUUAGUACCUGGGCUUGAAAUGGACUUUGUCAUCAAGAAAGGAAACUUCUGUACUGUUUGUGAUUGCUCCAUGGUCUCAACAAGAACAGAAACCAACAUGGAAUGGAUGUCAAUUAUUGCAUGCCGUGCCGUGAAUAUAUAUAUUUCGACAGCAAUAAAUUAAUUUCUUCCUUAUGGGACCAAGGAUCAAAGACUAUAGGGAAGCAUAUAUGCUUGAUAAACAUUACAGGUAGAUAUAGGGAAAGAGAUGCAGAAGAGAAGUUAUAUAACAAAAUAAUCUAUUUAAGCAGAAACAGACACACCCACAUAACAUCUUCUCUUCGAAAAGUAAUUAAGAUCAUCAUCUAAAUAACAUGAACUAAUACUGCAAAAGUCUGAAGACAUAAACUAGUGAUGAUAUAUUCAAUAAUCAAGUAAUGAUCAAAAUGGAAAAGGAAAAAAAAAGAAAGAAAGAAGAACCCUUGUAGCCAAAAAGCUUUUUAAGAAAUUAUUCUUGAUGUGGAUUUGCUUGAUCUAGCAAAUGAUCGGACCGAGACGCUUGAUUCCCCAGAGUAGCUGUUGGAUCCUUUUGACGGGAAAAGAACCCUUCAAGUGAAACACUUAGCUAGGUUUUUAUCAUGACUAAAAACCCUCUAUCGUUUCCUUCCUUUUCUUCUUCUUCUUCUUCUUCUUCUUGAUCUUGUUGUGUUUGCUUUUCUUGUUUUGGUUUUGGGAUGUGAAGUUGGGUAGUGAAAAAGGAUGUAGUGGAGAUGGGGGGGUAAUGAUGAUGGGGGUGAAGAGUCAGUGGGAAGAGCAAGGAGGAGGAGGAGGGCAUGAUGAUUGCUGUUGGUUGAUGCUGUUGAAAGGUUGAAGAAAAAUCCAAGGUAUUGCGUGCCAUUUCCUCAGAUAAAGAAUGAGAGAGAAAGAAUGUGAGAGAGAGAGAGAGAGAGAGAGAGAGUUCUCUCUUUCUUUCUCUCUCUAUAUGAAGAGAAUUAUCAUGAAGCCCUCGGUGCUAGCUUUUUCAUACCACAGCUCUUGUUCUCUAUGAUGAAAUUGAAAAGACCCAUUAUUUUAUUUUUAUUUACCUUUUCAUGGAAAGAAUUAUCAUAUC
rnacentral:lncRNA from 1 species